GGUGGAGUGGCUUGAGCAUUGGACUAUGACUCUGGAGACCAGGGUUCGAAUCCCAGCUCAGCCA
rnacentral:tRNA from 1 species